GACGAACGCUGGCGGCGUGCUUAACACAUGCAAGUCGAACGGAAAGGCCCUGCUUUUGUGGGGUGCUCGAGUGGCGAACGGGUGAGUAACACGUGAGUAACCUGCCCUUGACUUUGGGAUAACUUCAGGAAGCUGGGGCUAAUACCGGAUAGGAGCUCCUGCUGCAUGGUGGGGGUGGGAAAGUUUCGGCGGUUGGGGAUGGACUCGCGGCUUAUCAGCUUGUUGGUGGGGUAGUGGCUUACCAAGGCUUUGACGGGUAGCCGGCCUGAGAGGGUGACCGGCCACAUUGGGACUGAGAUACGGCCCAGACUCCUACGGGAGGCAGCAGUGGGGAAUAUUGCACAAUGGGCGGAAGCCUGAUGCAGCAACGCCGCGUGCGGGAUGACGGCCUUCGGGUUGUAAACCGCUUUCGCCUGUGACGAAGCGUGAGUGACGGUAAUGGGUAAAGAAGCACCGGCUAACUACGUG
rnacentral:rRNA from 1 species